AUUGAACGCUGGCGGCAGGCCUAACACAUGCAAGUCGAACGGUAACAGGAAGCAGCUUGCUGCUUCGCUGACGAGUGGCGGACGGGUGAGUAAUGUCUGGGAAACUGCCUGAUGGCGGGGGAUAACUACUGGAAACGGUAGCUAAUACCGCAUAACGUCGCAAGACCAAAGAGGGGGACCUUAGGGCCUCUUGCCAUCGGAUGUGCCCAGAUGGGAUUAGCUAGUAGGUGGGGUAACGGCUCACCUAGGCGACGAUCCCUAGCUGGUCUGAGAGGAUGACCAGCCACACUGGAACUGAGACACGGUCCAGACUCCUACGGGAGGCAGCAGUGGGGAAUAUUGCACAAUGGGCGCAAGCCUGAUGCAGCCAUGCCGCGUGUAUGAAGAAGGCCUUCGGGUUGUAAAGUACUUUCAGCGGGGAGGAAGGGAGUAAAGUUAAUACCUUUGCUCAUUGACGUUACCCGCAGAAGAAGCACCGGCUAACUCCGUG
rnacentral:rRNA from 1 species